UACAGAGGGGGCAAGCGUUAUUCGGAAUUAUUGGGCGUAAAGGGCGCGUAGGCGGCCUGGCAAGUGACGGGUGAAAGCCCUCGGCUCAACCGAGGAACUGCCUGUCAUACUGCCGGGCUUGAGUCCGGGAGAGGUGAGUGGAAUUCCCAGUGUAGCGGUGAAAUGCGUAGAUAUUGGGAGGAACACCAAUAGCGAAGGCAGCUCGCUGGGACGGUACUGACGCUAAGGCGCGAAAGCGUGGGGAGCGAACAGG
rnacentral:rRNA from 1 species